ACUCCUACGGGAGGCAGCAGUGGGGAAUAUUGCACAAUGGGCAGCCAGCUGAUGCAGCCAUGCGCGUGAUGUAGGCAGAUGGGCCUUCGGGUUGAAUGAACGCACUUUUCAGUCGUGAGGAAGGUAGUGUAGUUAAUAGCUGCAUUAUUUGACGUUAGCGACAGAAGAAGCACCGGCUAACUCCGUGCCAGCAGCCGCGGUAAUACGGAGGGUGCGAGCGUUAAUCGGAAUUACUGGGCGUAAAGCGCAUGCAGGUGGUUUGUUAAGUCAGAUGUGAAAGCCCGGGGCUCAACCUCGGAAUUGCAUUUGAAACUGGCAGACUAGAGUACUGUAGAGGGGGUAGAAUUCAGGUGUAGCGGUGAAAUGCGUAGAGAUCUGAAGGAAUACCGGUGGCGAAGGCGGCCCCUGGACAGAUACUGACACUCAGAUGCGAAAGCGUGGGGAGCAAACAGGAUUAGAUACCCUGGUAGCUACGAGU
rnacentral:rRNA from 1 species